UGGGGAAUUUUGGACAAUGGGCGAAAGCCUGAUCCAGCAAUGCCGCGUGUGUGAAGAAGGCCUUCGGGUUGUAAAGCACUUUUGUCCGGAAAGAAAUCCUUGGCUCUAAUACAGUCGGGGGAUGACGGUACCGGAAGAAUAAGCACCGGCUAACUACGUGCCAGCAGCCGCGGUAAUACGUAGGGUGCAAGCGUUAAUCGGAAUUACUGGGCGUAAAGCGUGCGCAGGCGGUUUGCUAAGACCGAUGUGAAAUCCCCGGGCUCAACCUGGGAACUGCAUUGGUGACUGGCAGGCUAGAGUAUGGCAGAGGGGGGUAGAAUUCCACGUGUAGCAGUGAAAUGCGUAGAGAUGUGGAGGAAUACCGAUGGCAGACGAGCCCUGGCCCAAUGCAACUGACGCUCAUGCACGAAAGCGUGGGGAGCAAACAGGAUUAGAUACCCUGGUAGUCCACGCCCUAAACGAUGUCAACUAGUUGUUGGGGAUUCAUUUCCUUAGUAACGUAGCUAACGCGUGAAGUUGACCGCCUGGGGAGUACGGUCGCAAGAUUAAAACUCAAAUGAAUUGAC
rnacentral:rRNA from 1 species